UACGGAGGGUGCGAGCGUUGUCCGGAAUCAUUGGGCGUAAAGGGCGCGUAGGUGGCCCGGUCAGUUCGUGGUGAAAGCGCGGGGCUCAACUCCGCGUCGGCCAUGAAUACUGCUGGGCUCGAGCACUGUAGAGGCAGGCGGAAUUCCGGGUGUAGCGGUGGAAUGCGUAGAGAUCCGGAAGAACACCGGUGGCGAAGGCGGCCUGCUGGGCAGUAGCUGACACUGAGGCGCGACAGCGUGGGGAGCAAACAGG
rnacentral:rRNA from 1 species